CACUUCUGUACAUUGGUCGAUUUGUUGUUCCGAUUCUCAUCACUUGCUUGCAUCACUUAAUGAUUCUUUUUUUAAUUACUUCUAUAUUAUUCAUAACGUCUUUAUGUUAAAUUUUUGUCUUACUGUAAUACUGAGAACAAAAAACGAUUGAGACGACGUCGUCUUUUCUGCCACCGGAAUUGGAGGAUGAGCCAGCGCGAGUUUCUAAAAGAGCUUGUGAUUUAUUAUACGUUGACCGAAUUAUGGACCAACAACUCCAUUUCUUAGCAUCGCCUGCGUCCAUUUUUUGCUAAAUUUUGAAGAGAUGAACUGGCGGACAUUUAUGCUUCCAGCAACAGUGGAAUGCUCGCAAGUAUUCUCGUCGUGAGUAAGAGUUUGAACACUUCAAUGGCAGCUUCGAUCUUCAAUCGUUUUGAAGAAGGGCAAACGUAGAAAUGAGCGAAUGAAAACUAGUUAAAGUAGUUAAGAUAUUCAUUAAAUUAAGGCAUUUUUUGAAAAAUGAUACAUGUACGUGAGGCAUGGAUAGUGGACAUGGUGGCGUAAGUGAGACAGGGUUGAGGAAGUAGGAUAUUACCUUCAACGCGCAGUAACAACAAAAAUGUGUUGCAAAUCCUAUAUGUAUGUCAACAAAAAAAACAUUGAACCAAACUUCCCACCUUCAAGCGGUUUGAAAGCCAUAUCCUACUUACUUUAACAAAAUUACGUUCAACAAAAAUUUUAAAAAAAUCGUUCAUUCAUAGACAAAAAUACCAAACACGUGUAGAAAGCAUCGGUUAAUAAUAAAUUAAGAAAAUUAUAGUAUAUUUAUUUAUUUAUCGGUUUAUUAAAAUGGUUCGUGAUUGAUGAUUAUAAAA